UGGGGGAUAUUGCACAAUGGGGGAAACCCUGAUGCAGCGACGCCGCGUGAGUGAAGAAGUAUCUCGGUAUGUAAAGCUCUAUCAGCAGGAAAGAUAAUGACGGUACCUGACUAAGAAGCCCCGGCUAACUACGUGCCAGCAGCCGCGGUAAUACGUAGGGGGCAAGCGUUAUCCGGAUUUACUGGGUGCAAAGGGAGCGUAGACGGCGGUGCAAGCCAGAUGUGAAAGCCCGGGGCUCAACCCCGGGACUGCAUUUGGAACUGUGCUGCUAGAGUGUCGGAGAGGCAGGCGGAAUUCCUAGUGUAGCGGUGAAAUGCGUAGAUAUUAGGAGGAACACCAGUGGCGGAGGCGGAUUGCUGGACAGUAACUGACGCUGAGGCGCGAAAGCGUGGGGAGCAAACAGG
rnacentral:rRNA from 1 species